rnacentral:tRNA from 1 species
UGCUGGCGCAAUGGUAGCGCGCGAGACUUCUAAUCUCGAGGCUGUGGGUUCGAGUCCCACGUA